UGUUCCAAUCUAUGACCUCCCUCUCCUGCUGGUACAAGGAUAUGUAUUCCUUAGAGCAAAGGAUGCAAUGUCAAGCAAGUUGUGAUACCUCAACUAUCUACAAUUUAACACCAAGGAAAGAACACUGUUUGGAGAAAUGAGAAAGAUUAUCAUCAGUGUCUUUCAGAAGUCAUCAAAAGAAGAAAAGGAGAAAAGAGAGGAGAAAGCAGAAAGAUCUGGAGUCUGGGAAGUUCAAGAGCAUGGCACCAACAUCUGGCAAGGGCUUUCAUUCUGCAUCAUCUCAUGGAGGAAAAUAAAAAGGAGGCUGGAUGCUCCUGUGAAGUACGUCUUUUAUCUACUUGCUAUCUUUGCAAUUCCUUCAUGCUACAAUGAGAGAUAGAGUUUAAACCUGAAAACAUUCUUGGAAAAGGAAUCUUCAUUAAUUCAAAUAUACCACAAGGUUCUGCCACUGUGGCCAUCACCUGGGAUUGGAGAAAGGCAAAUGGAACAGACCAACUCAGAAUUACAGUCCUCAUUUAUUUCAUCAGAGGUUGGCCUGUACUUACA
rnacentral:lncRNA from 10 species